GAUGAGCCAGAUUUGGAAGUUUAGAUUAAAACUUCAAAAUGAUUUUAACUGAAGAGUUUGAUCAUGGCUCAGAUUGAACGCUGGCGGCAGGCUUAACACAUGCAAGUCGAGCGGGCGAGGU
rnacentral:rRNA from 1 species